rfam:Salmo salar isolate Sally breed double haploid chromosome ssa20, whole genome shotgun sequence.
UCCUGUGUGGCUCAGUUGGUAGAGCAUGGUGUUUGCAACGCCAGGGUUGUUAGUUCAAUUCCCAUGGGCG